UUAUGAUUAACUGUGUUUGCGAGAUCGUGGGUUCGAUUCCCAGAGCGGACGUUGUGUUGUGUUCUUAAGCAAGGUACUUCAUUUCACAUUGCUCUGCGAUCAUUUCGUCAUCUGACGUGUGGCAUACGGUGCACCUGUACAGAUAAUGUCGAUUAGAUGAAGGGAGUGAGCUUAUGUAUACACGAACAUUAGAUCACAAUAAAA